UAAUGAUACCCCGGGUAGUCCACGCGUAAACGAUGAGUGCUAAGUGUUAGGGGGUUUACCGCCCCUUAAGUGCUGCAGCUAACGCAUUAAGCACUCCCGCCUGGGGGGAGUACGGUCGCAAGCUAGAAACUCAAAAGGAAUUGGACCGGGGGGGCCCGCACAAGCGGGUGGAGCAUGUGGUUUUAAUUCGAAGCAACGCGAAGAACCUUACCAGGUCUUGACAUCCCGCUGACCGGUCUAGAGAUAGACCUUUUUCCCUUUCGGGGGACGAGCGGGUGACAGGGUGGUGCAUGGUUGUCGUCAGCUCGUGUCGUGAGAUGUUGGGUUAAGUCCCGCACGAGCGCACCCUUCGAUCUUAGUUGCCAGCAUUCAGUUGGGUCGACUCUAAGGUGACUGCCGGUGAUAAACCGGAAGGGAAGGGUGGGGAGUGGCGUCAAAUCAUCACUGUCCCCUUACUGGACCUGGGGCUACACACGUGCUACAAGUGGGACGGUACGAGGAGGGUCGCCAACCCCGGCGGAGGGGUGAGCUAAUCCCACUAAAACCGUUCUCAGUUCGGAUUGUU
rnacentral:rRNA from 1 species